AAAAAGUCAAACCCUGAGUUUUCGUGUCCAACUUUGACUGUCCGUCUUAUAUGAAAUUUUUUUAUAAUUCGUAUUUUCAUUGUUGUUAGAUGAUAAAAUAUGAUUAAUAUUUUAUACGUGACUUGUCUUUUUAUUUUUUUUUAUAUUUUUUUUAAAUAAGAUGGACGGUAAAACGUUAGAUACGGAAACC
rnacentral:pre_miRNA from 1 species